rnacentral:rRNA from 1 species
AUUUGGUUUGGGGCCCUUCGCGGGGUACCCUGCUGAACCAAACUCCGAAUACCGGUAGAACUAUCUCGGCAGUGAGUCCGCGGGGGAUAAGCUCCGCGGUCGAGAGGGAAACAACCCAGACUACCUGCUAAGGUCCCGAAGUCGUGCUAAGUCACUAAGGAAGUUGAAUUGCUGUGACAACCAGGAUGUUGGCUUAGAAGCAGCCAUCAUUUAAAAAGUGCGUAACAGCUUACUGGUCGAGCAGUUCUGCGCCAAUAAUGAACGGGAGUAAGUACGACACCGAAGCAGUAGAUUUAUGGUAGGAGAGCGCCGCUGAGCAGAUACAAGCCGUACCGGAAGGAGCGGUGUUGGGUUCAGCGGGUGAUUAUGCCGGAAUGAGUAACGAUAAAACAGGUGAGAAUCCUGUUCGCCGCAAACCUAAGGUUUCCUGGGGAAGGUAAUUCCGCCCAGGGUUAGCCGGUACCUUAGUUGAGGCCGAAAGGCGUAGACGAUGGAGAGCAGGUUAAUAUUCCUGCGCCGGAUAUGUGGACCGAUGGGGGGACGUUGUGUAGAUUGUGAUCGGGCUGACAGAAAUGCCCGUAGGGGAAGACAAGGCUGUGGAUAGGAAAAUCCGCCACAUCAAGCCAAGGCUUUCACUCGAGUCCAAUGAUGACGAAGUCAUAUGACGCAUAACCAAGAAAAGCCUCUAAGGAUUGAAGCAUAUCUGACCGUACUAAAACUGACACAGGUAGGUGAGGCGCGUAGCCUAAGGCGCUCGGGAAAACGCUGGUUAAGGAACUCUGCAAAAUGACCCCGUAAGUUCGCGAUAAGGGGUGCCUCCGAUGGUUCACGCUAUUGGAGGUCACAGUAAAUCGGCUCUGGCGACUGUUUACUAAAAACACAGGACUCUGCGAACUCGUAAGAGGAUGUAUAGAGUCUGACUCCUGCUCGGUGCCGGUAAGUUAAGGAAGAGGGUUAGCCUUUGGGCGAAGCUCGCAACCGAAGCUCCGGUAAACGGCGGCCGUAACUAUGACGGUCCUAAG